GACAGAGGGGGCAAGCGUUGUUCGGAAGUACUGGGCGUAAAGGGCGCGCAGGCGGUCUUGUAAGUCCCGUGUGAAAGCCCCCGGCUCAACUGGGGAAUGGCACGGGAAACUGCGAGGCUUGAGAUCGGGAGAGGGAAGCGGAAUUCCGGGUGUAGCGGUGAAAUGCGUAGAUAUCCGGAGGAACACCGGUGGCGAAGGCGGCUUCCUGGACCGACACUGACGCUGCGGCUCGAAAGCUAGGGGAGCAAACGGG
rnacentral:rRNA from 1 species